rnacentral:rRNA from 1 species
UGGAUGAACGCUAGCUACAGGCUUAACACAUGCAAGUCGAGGGGCAUCAGGAAGAAAGCUUGCUUUCUUUGCUGGCGACCGGCGCACGGGUGAGUAACACGUAUCCAACCUGCCCUUUACUCGGGGAUAGCCUUUCGAAAGAAAGAUUAAUACCCGAUGGCAUAAUGAUUCCGCAUGGUUUCAUUAUUAAAGGAUUCCGGUAAAGGAUGGGGAUGCGUUCCAUUAGGUUGUUGGUGAGGUAACGGCUCACCAAGCCUUCGAUGGAUAGGGGUUCUGAGAGGAAGGUCCCCCACAUUGGAACUGAGACACGGUCCAAACUCCUACGGGAGGCAGCAGUGAGGAAUAUUGGUCAAUGGGCGCUAGCCUGAACCAGCCAAGUAGCGUGAAGGAUGAAGGCUCUAUGGGUCGUAAACUUCUUUUAUAUAAGAAUAAAGUGCAGUAUGUAUACUGUUUUGUAUGUAUUAUAUGAAUAAGGAUCGGCUAACUCCGUGCCAGCAGCCGCGGUAAUACGGAGGAUCCGAGCGUUAUCCGGAUUUAUUGGGUUUAAAGGGAGCGUAGGUGGACUGGUAAGUCAGUUGUGAAAGUUUGCGGCUCAACCGUAAAAUUGCAGUUGAUACUGUCAGUCUUGAGUACAGUAGAGGUGGGCGGAAUUCGUGGUGUAGCGGUGAAAUGCUUAGAUAUCACGAAGAACUCCGAUUGCGAAGGCAGCUCACUGGACUGCAACUGACACUGAUGCUCGAAAGUGUGGGUAUCAAACAGGAUUAGAUACCCUGGUAGUCCACACAGUAAACGAUGAAUACUCGCUGUUUGCGAUAUACAGUAAGCGGCCAAGCGAAAGCAUUAAGUAUUCCACCUGGGGAGUACGCCGGCAACGGUGAAACUCAAAGGAAUUGACGGGGGCCCGCACAAGCGGAGGAACAUGUGGUUUAAUUCGAUGAUACGCGAGGAACCUUACCCGGGCUUAAAUUGCAGUGGAAUGAUGUGGAAACAUGUCAGUGAGCAAUCACCGCUGUGAAGGUGCUGCAUGGUUGUCGUCAGCUCGUGCCGUGAGGUGUCGGCUUAAGUGCCAUAACGAGCGCAACCCUUAUCUUUAGUUACUAACAGGUCAUGCUGAGGACUCUAGAGAGACUGCCGUCGUAAGAUGUGAGGAAGGUGGGGAUGACGUCAAAUCAGCACGGCCCUUACGUCCGGGGCUACACACGUGUUACAAUGGGGGGUACAGAAGGCAGCUAGCGGGUGACCGUAUGCUAAUCCCAAAAGCCUCUCUCAGUUCGGAUCGAAGUCUGCAACCCGACUUCGUGAAGCUGGAUUCGCUAGUAAUCGCGCAUCAGCCACGGCGCGGUGAAUACGUUCCCGGGCCUUGUACACACCGCCCGUCAAGCCAUGGGAGCCGGGGGUACCUGAAGUACGUAACCGCAAGGAUCGUCCUAGGGUAAAACUGGUG